UCGAGGAUCUUCGGCAAUGGGGGCAACCCUGACCGAGCGAUGCCGCGUGGGCGACGAAGGCCUUCGGGUUGUAAAGCCCUGUCGAGGGGGAGAAAAGCCCGCGAGGGUGUGAUCUAUCCCUGGAGGAAGCACGGGCUAAGUUCGUGCCAGCAGCCGCGGUAAGACGAACCGUGCGAACGUUGUUCGGAAUCACUGGGCUUAAAGGGCGCGUAGGCUGGCGGCCGCGUCCGGGGUGAAAUCCGCCGGCUCAACCGGCGGCGUGCCUCGGGUACGGGCGGCCUCGAGGGGGGUAGGGGCCCGCGGAACUGUGGGUGGAGCGGUGAAAUGCGUUGAUAUCCACAGGAACUCCGGUGGCGAAGGCGGCGGGCUGGACCCCAUCUGACGCUGAGGCGCGAAAGCCAGGGGAGCGAACGG
rnacentral:rRNA from 1 species